UAAUACGUAGGGUGCAAGCGUUAAUCGGAAUUACUGGGCGUAAAGCGUGCGCAGGCGGUUUCGUAAGUCUGUCGUGAAAUCCCCGGGCUUAACCUGGGAAUGGCGAUGGAGACUGCGAGGCUAGAGUUUGGCAGAGGGGGGUAGAAUUCCACGUGUAGCAGUGAAAUGCGUAGAGAUGUGGAGGAACACCGAUGGCGAAGGCAGCCCCCUGGGUCAAAACUGACGCUCAUGCACGAAAGCGUGGGGAGCAAACAGG
rnacentral:rRNA from 1 species